rnacentral:rRNA from 1 species
GCCUACGGCCAUAACCAACCCCUGGCAACGCCCGAUCUCGUCUGAUCUCGGAAGCUAAGCAGCAGGUCGGGCGCCGGGUAGUACUUGGAUGGAGACCUCCUGGGCAUACCGGGUGCUGUAGGCU